GACGAACGCUGGCGGCGUGCUUAACACAUGCAAGUCGAACGGUCAGGCGCCUUCCUUUUUGCUGUGUGUGUAUGAGUGGCGAACUGGUUAGUAACACGUUAGCAACCUUCUCCCUCCUUCUUGAUAUCCGCAUGAAGGUGUGGCUAAUACGGGAUAUUCUGGGUCUGUUGCUUGAUUGGUCUGGGACAGAUUUUGUUUCGGUUGUGGAUGGGCUCGCGGCGUAUUAGCUUGUUGGUGGGGUAAUGGCCUACCAAGGCGGCGAUGCGUAGCCGCCCUGAGAGGGGGAUCGACGACACCGGUACGGAGAAACGGCCCACAAUCCUACGGGGGGCAGCAGUAGGGGAUCAUCCGGAAUGGGGGGAGGACGGAUGAAGCAGCGACGCGGGGGGGAGGAUGGUCUUCUUAGGGUAGUAAACCGUUUUCGGGAGUGAAGAAGGCUGGAAUUAAUUGUGCGUGGGUUGACGGUACCUGAAUAAGAAGCGACGGCUAACUACGUG
rnacentral:rRNA from 1 species